AAAUUCAGUUGAUACAAUUAAAAAUAUUUUGCUCUUACUGACAACAGACACUAUUUUCAGAAUGCAGCAUGAAUGGUCUAAAGAAGAAAAAAAAGUUUAAAAAGUUGACAAGUCUAUGUAUCGCUAUCACUGACGCUGCCUCAAAGUCAAAUAAAAGCUUAACCAAAAUGGAUCUCAUGCAACUUAUUGGAAGAUUAAUUAGGCAUUCUUCUGACCAAUUCAAGAGAAAAUCCACCAAUAUCGAUAUCAAUCAAUGAUGACUUAAUUAACUUCAAUCAACUGUUGUGUUUUUAUUUAUUUUGCAUUUUUCAGUAAUUUUCUUUUUACUUCUAAUAUACUAUCGAUUAUACUUUACAAAAUAUAUUAGUUUUUAAUUUGGAAAGUGUAACUUUGUUUGAAUAAUUUUUCUAAGUUUUUGUAAAAUUAUUAAUUUAUUUUGAAUAUAUGAAAUUACACUUU